AGCACUGUGAGUGCACGUGUGUGUGUGUGUGAAUGAGUGUGUGAGUGUGAGUAUGAGUGUGUGGGUGUAGGUGUGAGUGUCUGUGAGAGACAGAGAAAGCAUGCAUGCCAGUAUGCCUGUUGUCCAUUUAUUACCUUUCAGCUCCAAGUGCACCCUUUAGUAGAAGAUCUAUGAUAAAGAAUGCAGUCCUCUUGAGCAUGCCUCCUCUGAAGUGAGCAGAUGGUAAAUCUUUUCCGUAGAGGGCACUGGAGAGACACUACAAGGGGGAGAAGCUUCCUGCAGAUUCCCUUUCAGAGGACACGCAGGCAGAUACAGGCCACUGUGGGUUCCUGAUAUCCCCUCCCUGUCUCACCCUGCACCUGAGAAGGUGGCCUCUGUUCCAGCAACUUCAGACCAGCUCCUGUUUGGCUAGACCAGACAACUCCUGUGCUGGUUGAUGGCUGAACCACUCCUUUCCAAUCAUAUGGACCCCUUCCAGAUGUCUAAAACAAGGCUCAGAGACAGGGUCUGAGCCACACCACUGGCUUGUACCGGGAUCUGCCUCCAGAUACUGUGGUCUUUCCAUCACUGCCCUCUUGUGGUCUAAUAGGUACCAACACCUCAUUCUUCAGGCACCACACUACCUGUUGGCCCCAGGGGCAGGCAGGGGGUUUAGCUCUGAAAAUUGAUGCUCUGUUUCCAUUUAAACCAAAUGUCGUCUCAAAAAAAAAAAAAACCAAAAAAAAACAAAAGAAAACU